rnacentral:rRNA from 1 species
CCUACGGGCGGCAGCAGUGGGGGAUAUUGCACAAUGGGGGAAACCCUGAUGCAGCGACGCCGCGUGUGGGAAGACGGUCCUCUGGAUUGUAAACCACUGUCCCCAGGGACGAAGAUGACGGUACCUGGGGAGGAAGCUCCGGCUAACUACGUGCCAGCAGCCGCGGUAAUACGUAGGGAGCGAGCGUUGUCCGGAAUUACUGGGUGUAAAGGGAGCGUAGGCGGGGAUGCAAGUUGGGUGUCAAAACUACCGGCUCAACUGGUAGUCGCACUCAAAACUGCAGCUCUUGAGUGAAGUAGAGGCAGGGGGAAUCCCUGGGGGAGGGGUGAAAGGGGUAGAUAUUAGGAGGAA